UACGGAGGGUGCAAGCGUUGCUCGGGAUCACUGGGCGUAAAGGGCGUGUAGGCGGUUUCGUAUGUCUGGCGUGAAAGCCCCGGGCUCAACCCGGGAAGUGCGUUGGAAACUGCGAAACUAGAGUCUCGGAGAGGAAGGUGGAAUUCCAGGUGUAGCGGUGAAAUGCGUAGAUAUCUGGAAGAACACCGGUGGCGAAGGCGGCCUUCUGGACGAUGACUGACGCUGAGACGCGAAAGCCAGGGGAGCAAACGGG
rnacentral:rRNA from 1 species